UGGCGGCGUGCUUAACACAUGCAAGUCGAGCGAAGCCCUUGACGGAUUUCUUCGGAUUGAAGCCUUGGUGACUGAGCGGCGGACGGGUGAGUAACUGCGUGGGUAACCUGCCUCAUACAGGGGGAUAACAGUUGGAAACGGCUGCUAAUACCGCAUAAGCGCACAGUACCGCAUGGUACRGUGUGAAAAACUCCGGUGGUAUGAGAUGGACCCGCGUCUGAUUAGGUAGUUGGUGGGGUAACGGCCUACCAAGCCGACGAUCAGUAGCCGACCUGAGAGGGUGACCGGCCACAUUGGGACUGAGACACGGCCCAAACUCCUACGGGAGGCAGCAGUGGGGAAUAUUGCACAAUGGGGGAAACCCUGAUGCAGCGACGCCGCGUGAGCGAUGAAGUAUUUCGGUAUGUAAAGCUCUAUCAGCAGGGAAGAAAAUGACG
rnacentral:rRNA from 1 species